GAAAGCUGAUGCAGCGACGCCGCGUGAGGGAUGACGGCCUUUCGGGUUGUAAACCUCUUUCAGUAGGGAAGAAGCGAAAGUGACGGUACCUGCAGAAGAAGCACCGGCUAACUACGUGCCAGCAGCCGCGGUAAUACGUAGGGUGCGAGCGUUAUCCGGAAUUAUUGGGCGUAAAGAGCUCGUAGGCGGUUUGUCGCGUCUGUCGUGAAAGUCCGGGGCUUAACCCCGGAUCUGCGGUGGGUACGGGCAGACUAGAGUGCAGUAGGGGAGACUGGAAUUCCUGGUGUAGCGGUGGAAUGCGCAGAUAUCAGGAGGAACACCGAUGGCGAAGGCAGGUCUCUGGGCUGUAACUGACGCUGAGGAGCGAAAGCAUGGGGAGCGAACAGGAUUAGAUACCCUGGUAGUCCAUGCCGUAAACGUUGGGCACUAGGUGUGGGGACCAUUCCACGGUUUCCGCGCCGCAGCUAACGCAUUAAGUGCCCCGCCUGGGGAGUACGGCCGCAAGGCUAAAACUCAAAGGAAUUGACGGGGGCCCGCACAAGCGGCGGAGCAUGCGGAUUAAUUCGAUGCAACGCGAAGAACCUUACCAAGGCUUGACAUGUUCUCGAUCGCCGUAGAGAUACGGUUUCCCCUUUGGGGCGGGUUCACAGGUGGUGCAUGGUUGUCGUCAGCUCGUGUCGUGAGAUGUUGGGUUAAGUCCCGCAACGAGCGCAACCCUCGUUCCAUGUUGCCAGCACGUAAUGGUGGGGACUCAUGGAAGACUGCCGGGGUCAACUCGGAGGAAGGUGAGGACGACGUCAAAUCAUCAUGCCCCUUAUGUCUUGGGCUUCACGCAUGCUACAAUGGCCGGUACAAUGGGUUGCGAUACUGUGAGGUGGAGCUAAUCCCAAAAAGCCGGUCUCAGUUCGGAUUGGGGUCUGCAACUCGACCCCAUGAAGUCGGAGUCGCUAGUAAUCGCAGAUCAGCAAC
rnacentral:rRNA from 1 species